AGUUCUUUUACGCAUGCUCUGCUCCUCAUAUAUGACUUAAGAUAUUGUAUUACGUCAUUGAUUUCUGCGCCGUGGAACAUCUUGGUUUCAUUACCCAUCUGCUCAUUUCAAUUAUCUAACAAGCUAUCUUGGAUCCUAAAUUGUUUCAUGCUGAUUCAGAGUAUUCUUACAUGACAACGCUCUAUACUGUCUUACGGAAGCACUAUGAGUAGUGUGUGUUGAUAUGCAAUUAGUAUUCCUAUAGUUAGCAAACUUACGUACUGAAGACUGUUUCUUCUGGUUUGAUGCAUGCAGUAAGUACUGGAUGUUUUUCUGAGGAAGGUAGAAUGGCUACUCAAGAAAAAUAAAAAGGUAUAGUGCCGUACUAAUCGUAGAGAUGGAGUUUGAAAUUGUUUCGAGUAACGAAUGGCAAGUUUUUAGAUAUUGCAAUGAUACUAAGAAAAGGGAAAUUCAAGGCCAUCUAUUACAGUAGCCAAAAGAGGCUAUAGUACCACCCAUCAAAACAAGAAGGCAUCCAGUGAACUAUUCAGAGAGGGAGAUCGGAAGGGAAAGAAGAAAUGGUGAGGGGGGUUGAGGAGACAAUAGAUGACACAUAUUUGCUAAUCUGCUGGCUCAAAUGUUGGCGGGAGUGUGGAUAUUCUGAUUGAUGGAUUUGUCCCUCCGGCUAGCAGUUGUUGCUCCCAUGUUUACUUUAGCGCGGCUUCUACGAUCAUUUUUCCCUCUCCUCCAGCUACUGAACAGAUUUUCUUCUGAAAAGCAUGUGGCAAAUCAUGGCUUCUUAAUUCGGCACUGUCAAAAGUGAUUUUGAAUGAGAUGACAAUGUUAAGGUGUGAUCCCGAGUGCGUAGGUUUGAGUGCCAUCAGUUUUUGACACCGUUGGUGAUAAGGUUUCCGUGGUUGACUAUGUGAUACAGGUAGGUCUCCAGAGCCAACGAAAAUGGAAUCUUCCUCAUAUAGAGUGUAGUGGCAUUGUCGGUGUGACCAUGGAGUUCCAAAGCCAUCAAUUCCCGUUGUAGCUCGGCAGUUCCAAUAGAAUUUUUAGUUUUUUUUUAUUUCAGUAUUCAGUAUUUGACAUUGUGUUACAUACAAGAUGCAGAUUUUAAAUUAACAAAAAAUGAUGUUGUCUAUAGUUUAUACAAAAAAUAACUGGUGGUUGCUUAUAGGUAUACUAAAUGAACAUUUAAUUUUUUUA